rnacentral:rRNA from 1 species
UACAGAGGGUGCGAGCGUUAAUCGGAAUUACUGGGCGUAAAGCGUGCGCAGGCGGCGCGUUAAGACAGGUGUGAAAGCCCCGAGCUUAACUUGGGAAUUGCGCUUGUGACUGGCGAGCUGGAGUGUGGCAGAGGGAGGUGGAAUUCCACGUGUAGCAGUGAAAUGCGUAGAGAUGUGGAGGAACACCGAUGGCGAAGGCAGCCUCCUGGGCCAGCACUGACGCUCAUGCACGAAAGCGUGGGGAGCAAACAGG